ensembl:lncRNA
CCCUCGGGGGGGGGGUCCCUUCUGCGAUUCCUCCUCCGCCACCCGCCUCGCCGACAAUUCCCACACAGGCCUAAACACACGUGCUCAGUUCCUCCUCUUCUCCCGCCCCGCCUCAGCCUUCAUUGGCGGCCUCCAAGCGGGGCUGGCUCAGGCGGCGGGCGGUUGGUUGCUGCUCCUCCGCCCGAGACCCGGCGCGGCGGUUCCCGGGUGCGCUUGCCGCGAGGAGCCGAGGCUGAGGCGACGGAGUCCAGGUCCCUCCAGUCCCGUUUCUCGCGCAGCGCUGGAGGAAGAGGCGGCCUGAGAGCGCCGGGGAGGCGUUGCCCGGCGAGGCCGGGAGUUCGCCCCCUGCCCGGGCUGCAGAACAACAAGCGAGGAGGAGGCCGCCCCCGAGCAACUCCUGGGCGAGCGCUGGGGACGCCGCCGCGUCGCUUUCCCGCCACCAGGGUGGCCGCUUGGGUAGCGCGGGAGGGCGAGCGCGAGGCGCCUCAGCAGCAAGUGGCGCCGCCGCCGCCCCGCGCAGACCUCGCAGGAGGCGGGAAGCGCAGCCGCGAGGAGGCAGCGCUCGGCGGCGGCUCCCCCUGCCCCGGCCGGCCGCCAUGGCUGCCGCGGCGAGGCGACGGCGAGGGACUCGAAGCGGUGGCUGCUGCCGCCGCCUCCUCUGGAGGAGUCCGAAACAAGCGCCCCAGUCGAGAAGAGGAUGUAGACUUAAAAGUGAGCCAGGAACGUUUGGAACACUGUUGCGUUAUAGAAGAUGAAGACUCAGAAUCUCAAGAGGAGGAAGAGGGUAAAAGCGACCAAGUGGAUUGGAAAGAGAAGCUGAGUCCAGUUACCAGCUCUUCGGCUUACAGAAGCACUACUGGUUCUGCUUUCCCACUGGAAGGUUAUUUUCCACUGCCAGCAUCACUGACUGAAAAUACAUUGGAAGAA